UGGUGUGAUGGCGUGGAUCGAUCAGAGCAAAGGGGGGAGAAGACAAACCCUAACUUCAUGAAAUUCUCAAGAAUUGAAAGAGAUUAGGAGCCCAAACUAAUGCAUGAACUCGAAACCUCAAUCAUCUAAGCUUGUACAACAAGCGGAACGUGUCAAGGAGAGGUCAAGCAUAGGAGGAUAACGGGUCAAGAUAAGGCAAGAUGACAAAUACACUUAUUGGAGUACUCGAGGUAAGUGAAUUUCGAUUCACUUUUUAGUAGGUUUAAUAGAAUUUAAUACUUAUGUUUACGAAACAUCAUGAAAGAACAUGUAAUAAUCAGAAGUACAAAGCCAAUAAUGCCUCAUUAUUGAAGAAGGUUGUAUUUAAGCCGAAAGUAAAUUGGUGGGUUUAAACGGGUCGAAUUUUAUGUGCAUAUGUUGCGUAAUGAAAUGAAAUUCGUUAUGGUUAAGACCUUGGGUAAGAAUUUUAGUCAUUAUGUAAGGGGAACAUUUCCCGGACCAUUAGGUACAAGUUUUAUAUGAUUCGGUUGUCGGUCAAUGAAUGAACGGAUUGUUUCGUUUUAGUGUAGGAAAUUUUAUAAGUAUAUGUGUAUAGGAAUCCAAAGGCCACGUGGGUUGAAUCGUAGAUUGUCUAUACUAUGUAAAGUUUUGAAUGUGACAUUCCGGCAUAAACCUACAUGUAAAAGAAGCUUGUGUAUAUAUUCGUGAUUAAUUGAUUGUGCGAAGGAAGGAACAUUGGCAUGAAUGAAGGUACGCACAUAUAUAUAUAAGUGUAUAUAUAUAUAUAUAUAUGUAUGUAUGUAUGAUAAUAAGUACGUAGGUGUGAAUGUAUGUGUGAAUGAAUGUUCAAUGCUUAAGACAUAUGCAUGAACGUAUCAAAGGGUUCGAGUAUUUACGGAUACUAAUGAUGUGCGUUGAGUUGGAAUGUAAUGUAGGUAUGGGGUCGUUGGCUUCAUGAAGAAAUGGAGCUGGAUUUGGAUAAGAGUAUUUAAGAAAGCGCUUGGACAAUUCCACGACUACUUUAUAGAAUGCUCUACGAAAUUUUAUUAUAUAGUUUAAUGUUGAAUGGUAUGUUGAUAACUAAUGGUUUGGUUGUACGUGGUGUCCACAGGUAUCGCUUGGGUUUUCUCUACUUUUAUUGAAGUGAAGCGGACUUAGUUCGAGUUGAGAGCAAGGAUUGUACGGGCUAGAAUGGUCACAUAGUGUAACUCAUAUAGGUUUUGAAGUAUUAAUGUUAUAAAACGUUAUAAAUCCGUUUUAAUGAAUAUAUGGCAUUUCGUAUUUGAACUUUCAUGUGUUUGAUAUGUCUAUUAAAGAACGAAAUUUUUGGGCUCUUGUUUUCCGCUGCGUCGUAUUUUAAGUUAUUACGCGUUAGUCUUACAGGGAAUUGUUCUUAUUACGAACGGGUCAUGCCCGAAUUUUGUUAAAUAAUAGUAUGAUAAUAUUACAUUUUGGAAUGUGUAAUUUGGGCGUAACAAGUUGGUAUCAGAGCCCUGGUUUGAGAGAAUUAAGUACGAGAGUAUAAGUACUUGAACUCAAACCUGUGUGCUCUUGUGAUAAGGAACCCGUACAAUCCAUGACUCGAUCAAGAUCUAAAGGUAGAAAUGGAACGAAAAUGUGUAAGUAUGUAUUAGAUUAUGUAUUUGAAAGAAACUAAUAGUGUGUUAUGUGCAAGGUAAGCUUAAGAUCUUGAAGAGGAUGAUCCGUGAAUACAGAAUGGGAUGAACGCUAAGGCGGGCAAAGGUGCAAAUAGGCAAAUUAACCCCAGGUACACAUUACUAAUAUGUAUGAGUACCGAUGUCAAAAGAAAAAGGAAGGGGUCUCCUUGGGAGGGAAAUUAUUAAACGAAAGACAAUGAUGUGGUCUUGGGGAAGUUUUAGAAAUGUGCACGAAACUGAAACCCAUUUCUCGGGCAUAAGGCGAUGAUUACACGAAGGCACGAAACUAGUGUGUGAAUUGCGCACCUGGCCAGUACGCAAGAAGCAUAUGACGUUCGUGAGACCGUGGCAAUUAUUGCAGGUAUGUCCGGUAGAACUGGGUAGCAGGUGGGCGCUAUGUUGUAGCGAAUCCGAAAUAGCAAAUCCAUUGCGGAUUUGGUUAUGCUAACGAAGGUUAUGAAAAGUUAUGCGAGUCGACCGGUUCUAGCGAACAAGUCGAAUAAGAAUAAGCUACCAUCCGUUUUGAACGGGUGAUUUUGAAUGCUCUAAUGAAUGCUAGAAGCUUAAUCCGUUAUACGGAUUGAAAGAAGAAGUUAUGAUUAAAUGUGAAAAACCCAAUUAUUUGGGUAGUGGAAAAUGUGUAUGCUUAACUCUCGUUGAGAGUGUUUAUGCCAAACCCAAUUAUCUGGGUAGUGGAAUGUGUAUGCUUAACUCUCGUUGAGAGUGUUUAUGCCAAACCCAAUUAUUUGGGUAGUGGAAUGUGUAUGCUUAACUCUCCUUGAGAGUGUUUAUGCCGAAACCCAAUUAUUUGGGUAGUCGAAUGUGUAUGCUUAACUCUCUUUGAGAGUGUUUAUGCCAAACCCAAUUACUUGGGUAGUCGAAUGU
rnacentral:lncRNA from 1 species